rnacentral:sRNA from 1 species
GAGGACGUGAUGUCGCAGAAGGAAACU